AUUGAACGCUGGCGGCAUGCUUUACACAUGCAAGUCGAACGGCAGCGCGGGCUUCGGCCUGGCGGCGAGUGGCGAACGGGUGAGUAAUGCAUCGGAACGUGCCCAGUAUUUGGGGAUAGCCCGGCGAAAGCCGGAUUAAUACCGCAUACGACCUGAGGUUGAAAGCGGGGGAUCGAAAGGCCUCGCGCUAUUGGAGCGGCCGAUGUCGGAUUAGCUAGUUGGUGGGGUAAAGGCUUACCAAGGCGACGAUCCGUAGCUGGUCUGAGAGGACGACCAGCCACACUGGGACUGAGACACGGCCCAGACUCCUACGGGAGGCAGCAGUGGGGAAUUUUGGACAAUGGGGGCAACCCUGAUCCAGCCAUGCCGCGUGCGGGAAGAAGGCCUUCGGGUUGUAAACCGCUUUUGUUCGGGAAGAAAUCCUCUGGGCUAAUACCCCGGGGGGAUGACGGUACCGGAAGAAUAAGCACCGGCUAACUACGUG
rnacentral:rRNA from 1 species